rnacentral:lncRNA from 1 species
AAGAUUUGGACUCCUGGCAUUUUUCUCUUCAAAUUAGUGUAUGUAUUUUUUAUUUUAGUGAAGGUUGAUGGUGGACCAGUCCGGUGAGAUCCACCGGUGAAGAUGACUGGAGCCUUAGCUCCGGUGGUGUGUUGGCACUCUCCUAUCCCUUUGAUCAUGUUUAAACAUUUUAAUCCUGACCUUUGGUUUGCAUGACUAUGUUUGCAGCGUGUUUGACUAGUGUGUUUGGUG